AGGCAACCCUUGCACUAACUUUAAGUUAAAACAACAAAUAUUUUUUUACAGUGUGUAAACUUCGGACGUGAGAGAUUGCAGCCCUGCAAGGACUAGGCUACUGCAAAGAGGCGAAGAUAUCAGCAAGUGCUUGGACAACACUCCAGUGCAGCCACGUCUGAAGAAAAGGUUCAUUGUAUGCAAAAAUAGAAAUCUUAUUUUACAAAAAAGAGAAACAUGGUUUUAAGAUUUACUGAGCACAAUUUAUUUUUGUUUAGGCUAUUGAGACAGAAUGUUUAUCUCAUUGUAUUUAUGCUCAAUGUAUUUUGUUUUGGUUUUAAAUAAACUAAACUAAACAUUU